GGAAUCUUGCGCAAUGGGCGAAAGCCUGACGCAGCAACGCCGCGUGCGGGAUGAAGGCCUUCGGGUUGUAAACCGCUUUUACCAGGAAGGAAAAUGACAGUACCUGGAGAAUAAGGUGCGGCCAACUACGUGCCAGCAGCCGCGGUGACACGUAGGCACCAAGCGUUGUCCGGAUUUAUUGGGCGUAAAGAGCUCGUAGGCGGUUCAGUAAGUCGGGUGUGAAAACUCUGGGCUCAACUCAGAGACGCCACCCGAUACCGCUGUGACUUGAGUCCGGUAGGGGAGUGGGGAAUUCCUGGUGUAGCGGUGAAAUGCGCAGAUAUCAGGAGGAACACCAAUGGCGAAGGCACCACUCUGGGCCGAGACUGACGCUGAGGAGCGAAAGCGUGGGUAGCAAACAGGAUUAGAUACCCUGGUAGUCCACGCCGUAAACGGUGGGCACUAGGUGUGGGUUCCAACCAACGGAAUCCGCGCCGGCGCUAACGCAUUAAGUGCCCCGCCUGGGGAGUACGGCCGCAAGGUUAAAACUCAAAGGAAUUGACGG
rnacentral:rRNA from 1 species